rnacentral:snoRNA from 1 species
AAGACAUGAUCGAUAAUUGGACACUUCUUCAUCAACUCCUUAAAUCUGUUCCAUGCCUCGUGAUAGCUUUCCCCAUCUAUUUUUUUAAAGGUUUGAAUUUUCAAUCUGAUUUU